AAAGCAUAGAUUGAAACACAAAAAAUAUAAAAUGCUGCAUACAAAACACAUAUACGAUAUAAAGAAAUGCAAAAAUUACUACGACCGCCAUUCAAGACAAGAUGCCGAACGUAACCCCAGUUCGUGAUUUUUAGAUGGCGCAGGCAGUUUUUUCUCACCUAGAAAUGGCAUGGUUGCCAACUCUCAAAAAUAUAUGCAUCGUCGUAAGUUGUAUAUACAGGGUGAAACUUCUCAACGUAGUGUCAGGUAUAACAGUAAUAAUAAGGUUUCGUAAUAUAAUUGCAGUUACAACUCAUGAACAAAUAUCUAAGGGUAGGUCAAUGAACUUCAUGUCCGGUAAUGUAGAAACAUCCAACGCGUCAUCCUGCGCUCUUGCAAAAAUGGCGAGUCCAAAUGCGGGUCGUAAGUAAAAUCCAGGUAAGUACAACGUAAAAGGUAAUCCAAAAGAAAUAUCGAUGGGGAAUAA